rnacentral:rRNA from 1 species
UACGAAGGGGGCUAGCGUUGUUCGGAAUCACUGGGCGUAAAGGGCGCGUAGGCGGCUUUAUAAGUCGGGGGUGAAAGCCUGUGGCUCAACCACAGAAUUGCCUUCGAUACUGUAGAGCUUGAGACCGGAAGAGGUAAGUGGAACUGCGAGUGUAGAGGUGAAAUUCGUAGAUAUUCGCAAGAACACCAGUGGCGAAGGUGGCUUACUGGUCCGGUUCUGACGCUGAGGCGCGAAAGCGUGGGGAGCAAACAGG